rnacentral:rRNA from 1 species
UACAGAGGUGGCGAGCGUUGUUCGGAAUUACUGGGCUUAAAGGGCGCGUAGGCGGUGAGACAAGUCUGAGGUGAAAUCUUAGGGCUUAACCCUAAAACUGCCUUGGAAACUGUUUUACUUGAGUCAGCGAGGGGAUGGUGGAAUUCCCGGUGUAGCAGUGAAAUGCGUAGAUAUCGGGAGGAAGGCCGGUGGCGAAGGCGACCAUCUGGCGCUGAACUGACGCUGAGGCGCGAAAGUGUGGGGAGCAAACGGGAUUAGAAACCCUGGUAGU